rnacentral:lncRNA from 1 species
GUUAUCUGCCCCUUUCAAAGUUAUUCAACUGCAAAAGCCCCAGUGUACUCUUUUCUGAUCCCAAAGAUAGAACUUGGAAGGACUCAACAGAGAAGUUUGGGGCAUUUUAUUACUUACAGACUACUGGGCAGUGGCAAGCCAAGAUACAAUGGAGGGCCUCACCGUACCUACAAGAGGGGGGAGUGUAUGUGGGAUAGCUUGCAUGCCCGCUGGGCAGGCAGAUUUCUUCAGAUGUUCUUUUACUCUACAACAAGGUCACUCUGCUUUGAUUCUCACAUAAAGAUUGGAGAUAAGGGAAAUAGCCAGCUCCCCCUCUCUAUUUCCUUCAUUAUCACAUUCUUUAGAGACCUUCUUAUUACAAGCUUUUCUAGGUAUUGAUUAGUGUUUACUCCAACAACCUGUGUGUCAAGGAAAGUACAGUCAUGACCCAUGAUCCAUGACCCCUGCAAAAUGCUAAUUCCCUGAUCUCAAGAGGAUAUCCUCUUGACUGAGUAUUCCAGCCUACCUACCUGCUGCUUAGCCCUGAAUUCCUAGUAAUCCUUACCCCUCCGGCUAUGCUUGAAAAAUAAUUUUCAAAAACUUUUUUUUAUGGUGAAAAGCUAUUUAUCAACUACCUUUUAACUUUCCAGAGAGUGUGAUAUGACAACUGGGAAACAAUUCCAUGGAUCUUCACACUAUCCUCCUGCAAAAAUCCCUUCCCUGGCCUUUGGCAUUCCUUGGGCUUCCUCCCUCAGCCUCUAAAGUGAGGUAUGGAGCUUGUAUCCUAUGACAAGGAACAGUGGAUAAUUCCAAAAACAAAGACUUCAUCUACUGAGGUGAUGCUUCUAAUAUGACUCUGAACUUAAUUCAUAAAAGGUUUCCCAGAGCCAUUCCAUCACCACUGCCAAUUACACCAAACCAAGGCAAUUGGUGUAAGGAAAUAGAAAUACGGUAACGGCUUUUGCUUUCUGUUUGUCUUGAGCCAGGAAUCAUUUGUGGGACUGAAAAUGUUCCACCUCUGCCUCAGCUAUUAAAGAAUCUCAUUCAAUUAUACCAACUUCACAAACAAAUGAAGUUAAUUGCCCCAAUAUUUUGAAACCCUUGAAUAUUAUCAAAUCUGAACAAAUUGGCUGCUCAAAACUUUACUCCUUACCUCUCAUUAGUGGAGACAAUGCCAGAAAGUGGAGAAAGAAGCUCUAUUAACUGAAGGGGAACGCUGGAAGGGUCUGCAACCUUAUAUGGCAAGUCUUCAGGGAAGACCACAGUUAGAAAAACUAUAAGCUAAUCCAAAGGAACUGGGAAGAAAUCUGGGAGAGGGCAGAGAUUUGAUAUACAAGUAUUCCAGGCUGUGGAGUAAGGGGAAUGUAGAUUCAAAAGCAGAACUCCUGCUAGGUAGCUUCUCAGAGCAUGGUACCAGGUGCUCAUUAAGACAGUGACAAACAGUGAAAACACGUCUCAGGGUGAAGCUUGGGACUCACAAAUGCCCAGGGCCAGUGAGUCCAAGGUCCCCUUCAGCUCACCAAGAAAUUCCACUUACAGCUGGGCAGUCACCUCCACCGUGCAACCAGCACGCUGGUUUCAUACAAGAGGUUCGUAGCAUAGAAGUUAACUCGUGAAAUCAAAAUAAACACACAGACUCAAUUACCUUUUUCUUUGACCAGGUCCAAGUCGGCCCUCCCUCUAGCUCUCACCUCGAACCACCCGGUGGGGCAGCAAGAUUUACU